rnacentral:rRNA from 1 species
GAAACUGGGGAACUUGAGUGCAGAAGAGGAGAGUGGAAUUCCACGUGUAGCGGUGAAAUGCGUAGAGAUGUGGAGGAACACCAGUGGCGAAGGCGACUCUCUGGUUUGUAACUGACGCUGAGGCGCGAAAGCGUGGGGAGCGAACAGGAUUAGAUACCCUGGUAGUCCACGCCGUAAACGAUGAGUGCUAAGUGUUAGAGGGUUUCCGCCCUUUAGUGCUGCAGCAAACGCAUUAAGCACUCCGCCUGGGGAGUACGGUCGCAAGACUGAAACUCAAAGGAAUUGACGGGGGCCCGCACAAGCGGUGGAGCAUGUGGUUUAAUUCGAAGCAACGCGAAGAACCUUACCAGGUCUUGACAUCCUCUGACAACCCUAGAGAUAGGGCUUCCCCUUCGGGGGCAGAGUGACAGGUGGUGCAUGGUUGUCGUCAGCUCGUGUCGUGAGAUGUUGGGUUAAGUCCCGCAACGAGCGCAACCCUUGAUCUUAGUUGCCAGCAUUCAGUUGGGCACUCUAAGGUGACUGCCGGUGACAAACCGGAGGAAGGUGGGGAUGACGUCAAAUCAUCAUGCCCCUUAUGACCUGGGCUACACACGUGCUACAAUGGGCAGAACAAAGGGCAGCGAAGCCGCGAGGCUAAGCCAAUCCCACAAAUCUGUUCUCAGUUCGGAUCGCAGUCUGCAACUCGACUGCGUGAAGCUGGAAUCGCUAGUAAUCGCGG